GAAAUAUCUUUCUUUUGAUUGGCUAGGAGAGACCGGCGCUUGAAGUUUGUAGGGGGCCGCCAUGUUGGUUUGGGGAGGCCAAUAAGUGAAGACCUCCGAGCCGCUGGAGGCGGGACAUCCGGGGCGUGGUUUAGAAAGAGUGCUUUCGCCGUGGGUGCAGAGGGUGGGCCCGCCGGGUUGGGUGGGGGGCGUGUGAUGACGGUAAUGGCGACGAGAUGCUCAACUCACGCGGCCUCUUUUAAUCCUCACAGCAGCUCUGCGUGGAGAAACUACAGUAACGUGUUACCACGUUAAGGCGGGAAGCUGAGGCAUGGGAGUAUUUAGUAACGUUCCCGGGCCGUAGAGCUGCGGUGUGCGGCCGCCUGAUCCACCUGAUCUGUAUGACUCCCGUACUCAACCAGCCUAUGUUUCCUACCAGCGAAUUUUUUUUUUUUUUUUUUUUUUUUUCUUUUUUUGAGACAAUCUGGCUCUGUGGCUCAGGCUGGAAUGCAGUGGUGCGAUCUCGGCUCACUGCAGCCUCGACCUCCCAGGCUCGGGUGAUCCUCACUUCUCAGCCUCCCGAGCAGCUGGAACCACAGUCGCCUGCCACCACCAGGCUCGGCUAAUUUUUGUAUUUUUUGUAGAGACGGGGUCUCGCCAUGUUGCCCAGGCUGGUCUGGAACUCCUGGACUCAGGCGAUCCUCCUGCCUCGGCCUGCCAAAGUGCUGGGAUUACAGGCGUGAGCCACCACGCCGGGCCUUUCCCCGGGAAUGCUGUGGUAGAGGGACCCGCAGAGGCCCCGAGGCUGCCUGCAUGUGUGUGUUGGGAGGAUCUGCGCUGAGGGUAGGUAGGAGUUGGGCAGGCCAGGACAGGAAGGAGGCAGAGGGCAUGUCCCAUGCCCGUGCAGAGGGAGGACACGCAUGGUAGACCAGGACGAGGACAAGGGCAGGCUCAGUGUGUGCAAAGGGGACAGUGGUUUGGGAUUUGCAUGCAGAUGCCCGAGCCUCCAAAGGACCUGUGGGCCACAGGGAGACCCUGGGGGAGUUCAAGCUGAGGAGUGGAGAGGGCUUUGGGCUGGUCAGCAGGUGCUCAGAGGAGAGGGGCUGGCCCUAGAGAGAAGGGAGGUCUUGGGAUGGUGGCCCACACCUGACCCUGGCCCUUCAUCAGGUGAUUCCUGCGUGGAUGCCUGCGGGGAUUCCUGCGUGGAUUGGGGAAGUCCUGCAGCAUUACAGAAUUGUUACCCAACGCCAGGGCCUUGGUCCAGAGUCCUGUUGCUAGAUGCACAGAAAGCAAAUCACUGAGAUCUGGGUCAGGGCUUGUCUGAUGUGGGGAAAGCGGACUGCCCCCAGUGGAUUCAGACGUCACUUCAUGGCAUGAGACCAGCAUUACCCACAAUGGCAGUGGCAGCAGAUGGAGGAGAUGGAGCAGAAGGCAGCAGAGGGCGUCCCAGGUAGUACGGGCAAGCCACCUUGUGCAUGACUUGUGUCUUAGGUGUGACUGUGUGUCCUGGGAUCAGUUCUGGGUGGUCAGAAAAGUUUGAAGCCAGAUGACUCCACUGUCAAAAAACCUCUGUAGAGUUUUCUAAAGGUGAAAGUAUCCAGAUGAAGCAGGGCUCCUUGAAGGAAUGGCUGCUUCUGGAGUUGGAGCAGGGGAGAUACAAGAUGAGCCUGGAGCUGCUUGUAGCACCAGAGGGGAAGGAGGUGGUCACAACCCAAGAGGCUGGGACAUCUUACAUGGGCUUCUGAGCCCGAGCCUCAGACAAACCACACGACCUUGGAUUACAGCCCCUGGAGUCAAAUAAAUAUACCUGAGUCCGUAGUGACCUAAAUAAACAAUUCAAGAGAUGAAUCUUUCUUACAGAAUUCCAGGAAAUAGAUGUAGAUACUGCUGUUAGCCAAGAAUACGGUAUCCAGCUAAGACUAUGCUUCGUAGAUGAAGAAAUAAAGCCUUUCCCAGACAAGCAAAGGCUGGGGGAAUUUAUCACUACUAGAUCAGUCCUGCAAGAAAUGCUCAAAGGAGUCUUAACAUAAAAACAAGUUGGUAUUUGCCAUAAUACACACAAAAGUACAAAACUCACAGGCCCUAUAAAAC
rnacentral:lncRNA from 1 species